GACGAACGCUGGCGGCGUGCCUAAUACAUGCAAGUAGAACGCUGAAGAGAGGAGCUUGCUCUUCUUGGAUGAGUUGCGAACGGGUGAGUAACGCGUAGGUAACCUGCCUUGUAGCGGGGGAUAACUAUUGGAAACGAUAGCUAAUACCGCAUAACAAUGGCUGACACAUGUCAUUUAUUUGAAAGGGGCAAUUGCUCCACUACAAGAUGGACAUGCGUUGUAUUAGCUAGUAGGUGAGGUAAUGGCUCACCUAGGCGACGAUACAUAGACGACCUGAGAAGGAGAACGGCCACACUGGGACUGAGACACGGCCCAGACCCCUACGGGAGGCAGCAGUAGGGAAUCUUCGGAAAUGGGGGCAACCCUGACCGAGCAACGCCGCGUGAGUGAAGAAGGUUUUCGGAUCGUAAAGCUCUGUUGUAAGUCAAGAACGGGUGUGAGAGUGGAAAGUUCACACUGUGACGGUAGCUUAACAGAAAGGGACGGCUAACUACGUG
rnacentral:rRNA from 1 species